rnacentral:lncRNA from 1 species
CUCCACUUAGUAUGGGCCCUCCCAAUUUGGGGCCAAUUUGUCUUGCUCCCCUGGUUGGGAUACCUCCACCUUGUCUAGCACUAGGUCACCAACUCUGAAGACCUUAUUUUGGACCUUGAUUUUGAAAGAAUUAUGCCUUGCAAGCCCAUCGCAUAUGGGAUGCGAUGGAAUAUUUUUUUAUAUUUUAUGUUUCAAACUCAUGUAUCUUGAUAUUAUUAAUU